GAGCUUAUGAUGAUAAUUUUUAAAUAUCUUAGCGGAUUUCAGUGAGACCUUAGGGUGAAUGAUCUGAUUGUUACACACACUGAGGCUC
rfam:Prunus persica cultivar Lovell chromosome G6, whole genome shotgun sequence.